rnacentral:ribozyme from 1 species
AAAAAAAAAGAACAAAUAUACAAAAAUAAAUCAACUAUUUAUCCUUUCUGGACGUUGCGCAAGAUUUGUCAUAUUAUUAAUUGUUUUUUCCUGUGCAAAAAUGAAGCAUUUGCAAAAACG